UAAAAAAAAGAGAACAACAUUUCUUCUUCUUCUUCUCCAAAAAAAAUCGUGAAGCCCCCUUCUCUCUCUAGAACUUCUCUUCCACUCACUCUCUCUCUCGCACGCCGGCCACGGCACAACUUGUCGUCGACAACGCGGCCGAAAAUCCAAAGUCACCGAUUCUCCCUCUGUCUCACCGAUAUUUCUCUCUUCUCUUAUCAACCAUCACCGUCCAUUGAUCGGAGUAUGUUCGAUGCAUUUGCCAUCGUCAAACUCGAGGUUGGAAGUUUUGGUUGGAAUUUGCUGCUGUCCAGCGAAAGCUCGGAAUUAGGCAUCUUGGCACAACUUGGAAGUGUGGUAAACACAGACCAACUCUGAUGUUCUCAUCGGUUUGAGCUACACAAAAAGAAUUAACAGGCUAGAUCGAAGUGGGAAAGGCGUAAAAUCCCGAGGGAUCGAGUAAUUGAUUGCUACGAGAAUGUGUUUCUGUAGCGCCACCUACGGUUGUCAGGGGAUUCCGUGGCUGAAAGAGGUCGUGACCGGAGAUCCGAGAACCUGAGCCUAGGUGAGGACGUGGAUGAAGAAUUGUGAUAUGGCUUCGGGCCUGCUUAACCCAUGGUUGGGUGGCUCUAUGUGCACAUAGGAGCGGUAUGUUGUUACCGUGGUAGGUGCUAAGUAUGCGUGAGCUCCGUUUGGCCGCGUGUUUCCUUGUGGAUUGGAUCACGUGUGAGCUAUCCUUGGGUUGUAUGCUUAGUACGCUAUCAUGGUUGGAUUGGAUUGGUUAGAUCGGAUUGGAUGGAGGUUGUUAUCGUGGCGGGUACUAAAUAUGCGUGAGUUAGUUUUGGCCGCAUGAUUUUUAGUCAUGUGCGAGAUUUCUUUGGCCGUAUAUUUAGAUGUCUUGCCAUGGUUGGUUUGGAUACAGGUUGUGAACCAAAGGCCAAGUGUUGAUUUAACGCUCGUCAUCAGUCGUAGAUCUCCAUUAUGCUUGUAUGCUUAUAGUAAAUUUUUGCAUCAUGGAGUAGUUAGAUGUGAUGAGAGUGAGGUUAAGAACUUGUGUUGAAUUUUCCUCUUAGAACGAAAUCAUGUGUAUGUAACUUUUAAGCUGAUUGUGAACUUUACUGAAACUCUGAAACUGUUUGGAUAAGUGUGUGGUGAGACACACUUGCGGCGUUGUGGAGUUUUGAAGUUAAGUUACAUAUAGAAGUGCAAAAUCUCUCCUUUUUAGGUUUGACUAACUCAUAUUUUAGGGGAGAUGCUGCCGAAAUUUUUAAUGAAUUUUUUUUAAAGGUGUUUUAUAAA